GGUAGACUUGUGAGGAAGUUGUAGUUGGGAUGGGAGGCUAGGGAAGAAAUUACUGGAAACUCAUCCUAAUUUCUUUCCUAUUCCUCCCAUCCCUCCUCAAUUUCCCAAGGUUUCUCC
rnacentral:pre_miRNA from 1 species